AACGAACGCUGGCGGCAUGCCUAACACAUGCAAGUCGAACGAGACCUUCGGGUCUAGUGGCGCACGGGUGCGUAACACGUGGGAAUCUGCCCUUUGCUUCGGAAUAACAGUUAGAAAUGACUGCUAAUACCGGAUGAUGUCGAAAGACCAAAGAUUUAUCGGCGAAGGAUGAGCCCGCGUAGGAUUAGGUAGUUGGUGGGGUAAAGGCCUACCAAGCCGACGAUCCUUAGCUGGUCUGAGAGGAUGAUCAGCCACACUGGGACUGAGACACGGCCCAGACUCCUACGGGAGGCAGCAGUGGGGAAUAUUGGACAAUGGGCGAAAGCCUGAUCCAGCAAUGCCGCGUGAGUGAUGAAGGCCUUAGGGUUGUAAAGCUCUUUUACCAGGGAUGAUAAUGACAGUACCUGGAGAAUAAGCUCCGGCUAACUCCGUG
rnacentral:rRNA from 1 species